rnacentral:misc_RNA from 1 species
AACGCACCUUGCGCUCCUUGGUAUUCCGAGGAGCAUGCCUGUUUGAGUGUCAUUAAUAUAUCAACCUCUUCAGCUUUUGCUUGUUUGAGUGUUGGAUGUGGGGGUGUCCUUUGUUGGCUUCUAUGAAGUCAGCUCCCCUCAAAUGUAUUAGCAGAAUAAUUUGUUAAUCCUGUUCAUUGGUGUGAUAAUUAUCUACGCUAUUGACAGGGAAAGCAGUUCAGCUUCUAAUAGUCCAUUGACUUGGACAAAAUUUUCAUUAAUGUGACCUCAAAUCAGGUAGGACUACCCGCUGAACUUAA